UCUAGAAGAAUUGCUAAUAUACAGCGUCAUGUUUGUGAAGUUUCAGUGUCUUUAAUUAUUAUACUUUAUAGUUCUAAUUGUAAAAAAUUGUCAUAGCCUUUGAAUUGCUUUUUUUAGCAAAUCUACUCAGCCCUAUAAUGAGACUCCAUUGAUGUACUUGAGCAAUUGGAUGGACAUUUGCAUUCUUAGCAGAUGUUUAAUCAUCCAAACAGAGUGCUAGAAUGUUCACAUAUAGUGCAAGUAGCGAAUACUAAAAUCUGUAGCUCUACUGUGAUAUAACGAGUAUGAGAAGAAUGAAGCUGAUGCUGUGAAAGUGCUGGAUUGAGGUGAGUAACUAAAGAUCAGUCAAGUCAACAAGAGCCACACAAAUCUGAUGUUCCUGCAGGUUAUUGGCUGCACUGUUAGACAUUUCUGUAAUUUCUGCAGUUAUUUACUGUAUAUCACCCAGUAUAAUACUGCAAAUUCCCUUUACGGUAAAUAACUGUAAUACCCUUUGCAUCAUGGGAAUUUUCUGUGACGUCAGACCCCACAUACAGAGAAUUACUGUAUUUUUUAAAAUUGCUGUAUACUACUGUAUUUGCUGUAACGGCCUCUUUGGCGCCAUUCUAUUGAGGUUGUUUUAUUUUCCUCAUUUCUCACAUUUGGAUUGACACGAUUUGCCCUACACCGUGUCUACAACACCGCAACAGCUUGGGACUGACUACACUGGAUGUGUUACAUCGCUUGUAAUGAUUGGAAAAUCCGUUUGUACUUCGUGUCAGCAACAGCGCGAGCGCUUGGAGUACAUCUGCACGUCAGAAAUAUACCGGGGCAUCACUUUACUGUCCGCAUCCACUGUAGAUAAUAUAUAUAAUGGGUUCUAUAUUGUUUUUUAUCAAAUGGCGACGCAGGUUUUUCCCGGGGAUGAACCCACACGAGAGUGGAAGAGCUCCGGAGAACAUCUAUGCUGUGUGUCGAUGCACCUUACGAGAGAAUAAGGCCAGCAAGCAAGGCAACUGCAAUGAGGCAUCAAGAAAGAUAUGAACAUGCCAGCCACCCUGAGACUGAUAAUGCAUGAGAAGACAUUUAUGUCACUAACAAAGUGGAGGGUGAGCAAAGGUGGUGGCCAUGUUUUGGAGCAGCACCUGGGUUUUGCAGAUGGCUGUGUAUUCUUUGGCUGUUUGUCUUUUUCCCCCAUUAUGUUUCUGUUGCCUAAAGAUUCUUUGUGAGGAUGAAUCCAGAGGACACAACAUAAUGCACUGCAAAACGUCCUAAGACAGGAGAAAUGCUGAAGUUGCACUGUUCCAGCAUUGGAAGACUGUGGCCUCGUUUACACUAGUGCAUUUUCGUUUUAAAACGCAUAACUUUUGCUACGGUUACACCUAUCGUUUACACUAAUAACGAUGGCGUGGCUGGCCACAUUCCCACUGCGUAUCCUUGACGACCGUGUAAACAAUAACAUCAUCCUCAUUAUUGUACCCAUAGAUAUGUAUGGGUAGAUUCCCCAUUCGACCGCUCCAAGCACGCAGAUGCGUCCGCCAUCUAAAUAACAGGGAUCUACCUAUACAUAUCUAUGGUUGUACCUGUAUGAAUGGUCACGUGGCAUGCUUUUUCGGUUGUGUAGUGUAAACGGGGAUCGUUUUCAUUCUAAACCGCCAUUUUAAAACGAAAACGCACUAGUGUAAACGGGGCCUAAAUUUUUAAGUGUUAU